GCCGCCUUGGUGGAACUGGUAGACACAACGGACUUAAAAUCCGUCGGGCUUAAACUCCCGUCCCGGUUCGAUUCCGGGAGGCGGCACCA
rnacentral:tRNA from 1 species